rnacentral:rRNA from 1 species
GAUGAACGCUAGCGGCGCGCCUUAUGCAUGCAAGUCGAACGGUUCCGACGCAAGUCGGGAUAGUGGCAAACGGGUGAGUAAUAGGUAAACAACCUGCCUUUAAGUGGGGGAUAACACUUCGAAAGAAGUGCUAAUACCGCAUGUGGUGCUCUUUCAUAAGAAGGAUCACUAAAACCGCAAGGUGCUUGAAGAGGGGUUUGCCUCCGAUUAGCUAGUUGGUGGGGUAACGGCCUACCAAGGCAAUGAUCGGUAGCUGGUCUGAGAGGAUGGUCAGCCACACUGGAACUGAGACACGGUCCAGACUCCUACGGGAGGCUG